UGUUAGCCUCUAUUAAAAAGUAUCAUGCAUCCAAGAGGAAGCUACGAAAAUGGCAGACACAGCUCCAAAAAAUGCAAAAUAUAGCGAGGCGAAACGCCAAGCGGACAAAGCUCGUUCCAAAACGAGAGUGAAUUUGGGGUUGGCUUCACUGAGCCGGGGAGGAGGGGCCAACUUUGAAUGUUGUGUUUACAAACUGCAACCCACAAAUCCUACUCAUUGUGCCUUUAAUUCAUUAUAUAUUAACCAAAGUGUAAAAAACAAGUUGUGCUUUUACAGGGGUUAUUUGCUUUUUUUCACUAGGACGCUCGUUGCCAGGCAACCAGCGGACACUCCAGGACUAACUGCGCUCGACCAAGAAAUAAUUAAAGCACAUAAUUGCCCAUAAAACAACAAAUUAUUUUUAGUGGUAAGUUAGUGAGCCUUAAAGCCCAAAGCACACCAACCCAACAUCGGAGAACUAGCGGCGAUGAAGGCAGCCUGUUGCGUCGCCUCACGUCGCCUUUGUCUUCGCCGAUAAGUUGCACUCGAACACAACGC